rfam:Ascoidea rubescens DSM 1968 unplaced genomic scaffold ASCRTscaffold_19, whole genome shotgun sequence.
GAUACAGUGGCCGAGUGGUUAAGGCGCCGCCCACAGAAAAGAGGAAGUGCACACGUGCACACCCUACUUGCUAGGCGUUAGGUUUACCCUUCGCAGGUUCGAAUCCUGUCUGUAUCG